CCCUGUAACGCGCAACCGCAAUUUUUCAAUCGGCGGACCGCGCUCGUCCGGAUCAAUACAGUGGCCUCGAUGCAGUUCACCACGGGGGCCAUCGGGAGAGCCGAAUCCUAAUGGGAAACGCGCCGGACUAUCAAAUUCGGACGCGUGCAGAGUAUCCGGCUAAUUGAUCCAUCGGACGUGUUAUUGGCCGCACACAGCGGAAGAGACGUUCCGCACGGCGGCACAGAGGGGAAGGAAAAGUAGUCGCCAUACUUUGGGCGGAGACUGCGUGACAUUAAGCUCCUCUAUUGGACGAAGGAUCGACCUGGUGCAUCAGCUUGCAUACCCUCCACGCGCCGGCCCAGUAGACGCUUCCUUCCAGAGUCCUUGCCGCGACCGAGGACUGUUGUCCUGGGGAAGGACAGGGUAUUCAUCGCUGAGGAUUAUGCGAAUUCUUUGUUAUUCGUCUUCGAGCUGGAGUAGAAUAUUUAUUGCAGUGCAAUGUUCUCUAUCGGAUUUUCAUACUGGGUGGACCAGCCUCUUUCCACGCCUCGUAAUCAUUUUCAUGAUUCACAUCUCCGGACGAAUAAACAGCGGCCAGCAGCCAGGCCAUUGAUUGCGAGCAAUAUUACUUCCUACGCGAUUACAGGAGCGAUUCGGAGAAACAACCUACGAUACGUGCCGCCGAUUGGGUAACAUGAGGCUACGUGAUUUAGGCAGGAUACUGAUAACGGAUAUGUUCAGCUUGCGUUUCUUUAUUCCUUCGCCUGGGUCACCGCGUGAAAAAGCCACUUUCACACGGCCAACGAUUUCGACAUAGUCCGUCGGCGACGAUAAUGAUUAGACUGCGAAUUUUAUGCAUUGAUAACGUACACCUAAAAAUAAACACCUAAAACUCGGUAAGGUAAUACAGCUUGAAGGUUUGAUAAUUCUUAAGUGAAUUGAAUCAUUAACACGUUGAUUAGCUCACGAUUUUAUAGAGUACAAUACACAGAUUGAAUCGCAUUAUUAUUGCACGUUGAUCUAGCUGAAUAAACAUCGUUUAUUUAAGUGUAUUCGAUUUGCUUGGGAGUCGCCGAUGAUCGGAGCUUCCAAAUUGCUGAAGAACAAUUGCAAUGAAAAACUUGUUUUUAAAUAGAAAUAUUUAGUAACACAAGC